rnacentral:rRNA from 1 species
UACGUAGGGUGCGAGCGUUAAUCGGAAUUACUGGGCGUAAAGCGUGCGCAGGCGGUUCGCCAAGUCAGGUGUGAAAUCCCCGGGCUCAACCUGGGAAUUGCGCUUGAAACUAGCGAGCUUGAGUGUGGCAGAGGGGGGUGGAAUUCCACGUGUAGCAGUGAAAUGCGUAGAGAUCGGCAGGAACACCCAGGGAGAAAUCAGCCGCCUGGGCAAGUGCUGACGCUGAGGUGCGAAAGCGUGGGGAGCGAACCGG